rnacentral:rRNA from 1 species
CAUAUGCUUGUCUCAAAGAUUAAGCCAUGCAUGUCUAAGAAUAAGCCCCAGAAUGGUGAAUCUGCGAAUGGCUCAUUAAAUCAGUUAUUGUUUAUUUGAUGGUACCUUACUACUUGGAUAACCGUAGUAAUUCUAGAGCUAAUACAUGCUUCAAAGCCCGACUUCGGGAGGGGUGCAUUUAUUAGAUUCAAACCAUCGGCUCUCUUCUUUUUGAUGGUGAGUCAUAAUAACUUAGCGAAUCGAAUGGCUUUUACGCCGUCGAUGCUUCAUUCAAAUUUCUGCCCUAUCAGCUUUCGAUGGUAGGAUCUUGGCCUACCAUGGCUAUAACGGGUAACGGGGAAUUAGGGUUCGAUUCCGGAGAGGGAGCUUGAGAAACGGCUACCACAUCCAAGGAUGGCAGCAGGCGCGCAAAUUACCCAAUCCCGACACGGGGAGGUAGUGACGAUAAAUAUCGAUGCUGGAUUAAAUUUAAUCCGGCAAUUGAAAUGAGAGUAAUUUAAAGCAAUACUCGAGGAACCAUUGGAGGGCAAGUCUGGUGCCAGCAGCCGCGGUAAUUCCAGCUCCAAUAGCGUAUAUUAAAGUUGUUGCAGUUAAAAAGCUCGUAGUCUGAGUCUUGGUCAUCCGGGAUUCUGCGUCCAGUGCCUAGCGUCUUGUGCAUGCAGCCUGGUGGCUAUUUGUACUUCAGAGGAACAUGUGUGCUUUUCACUAAGUGCGCUUGGGAUUCUGAUAGUUUACUUUGAGAAAAAUAGAGUGUUCAAAGCAGGCGAUUUGCCUUGAAUACAUUAGCAUGGGAUAAUGAAAUAGGACGUUGGUUCUAUUUUGAUGGUUUACGGACCGACGUAAUGAUUAAUAGGGACAGUUGGGGACAUUCAUAUUCCAUGGCUAGAGGUGAAAUUCUUGGAUUCAUGGAAGAUGAACUACUGCGAAAGCAUUUGUCAAAGAUGUUUUCAUUGAUCAAGAACGAAAGUUAGGGGAGCAAAGACGAUCAGAUACCGUCGUAGUCUUAACCAUAAACGAUGCCGACUAGGGAUCGGUGGGAGUUAGUUUUUAUGACUCCAUCGGCACCUCAUGGGAACCCAAAGACUUUGGUUUCCGGGGGGAGUAUGGUCGCAAGGCUGAAACUUAAAGGAAUUGACGGAAGGGCACCACCAGGAGUGGAGCCUGCGGCUUAAUUUGACUCAACACGGGAAAACUCACCAGGUCCAGACAUGAGAAGGAUUGACAGAUUGAGAGCUCUUUCUUGAUUCCAUGAAAGGUGGCGCAUGGCCGUUCUUAGUUGGUGGAGUGAUUUGUCUGGUUAAUUCCGAUAACGAACGAGACCUUAACCUGCUAACUAGUCACGGGAAGCCUUGUGCUUGCCGGCAGUACUUCUUAGAGGGACAAUCUGUUUCCAGCAGAUGGAAGUUUGAGGCAAUAACAGGUCUGUGAUGCCCUUAGAUGUCCUGGGCUGCACGCGCGCUACACUGACGAGUUCAACGAGUAUAUAACCUUGGCAGAGAUGUCUGGGUAAUCUUUUGAACGCUCGUCGUGAUGGGGAUAGAUGAUUGCAAUUAUUCGUCUUGAACGAGGAAUUCCUAGUAAGUGUG